AUGACUCUUUUAUAGCCACCACCUUGGCUUUAGGGACCCGGUUGAAAGAAACAAAAAGGCUAUUAGAACAAAGCAAAGGGAAAGAAGAUGGGUGUUUGACUAAGCUGACAUCUUUCUUUGAAUCCGCAGAGGAAGAACUGAGAGUUAUUACAGAGGAACAGCUCAGGAUCAUGGACUUGGUGAAGAAAACCACUAAUUAUUACCAAGCUGGAGCAUUGAAAGAGAGGAACCUGUUUCAGCUGUUUGUUAUAAUCCGUGAUUUCUUAGGGAUGGUUGAUAAUGCUUGUAGUGAGAUCGCGAGGACUCAACGGAAGCAGAGACCAGCAGCCACGGUAGCAGCAGGAGCAUCAACGUCGACAGCAGCAACACCGACCGCCCCUGCACCGCAGAGAAACGCGGUUAGGUUUCCGAUUCUGCCCCCAAAUUUCAUGUCAGAGCAUUCAAGGUACAGUUCAAGUGACUCAGAUUCAGAUUCUUGAUAGCAAGGAAAAAUGAGAUUCUCUGCUUUUGUUGUACGUAUAUAGAUGUUAGGGAAGCUUGUUGAGUUUUCUUUUUUUAAGAUUCUUUAGGUUAUUUGGAAGUGGCUUUAGGUUAUGGACUAUCAACCUAACAUCAACCAGGAUCUACUCAAUCCUAGAUCCACAUUCAACAAUAUAGAAGAGCAUGAAAGAGAUCUGGGUAGAACACCUCACCUUAGCCUAGAUCCGGAUCUGGAUCUGAGAAUAGAGGGUAAGAGAAACGGGAUCUGAGGUCUAUGACACCACGCGGCCACCACCACCACUCGCGGCUGUUCCCGGCGAGGAG
rnacentral:lncRNA from 1 species